GCCUAUGGAAAAUAUUGGCAGUACUUUAGAAUAUCUUAACUGUUUCUUCCCACUUCAGGAACUGAAAUGCAUGGAAUUAAAUACUGAACAACUCUUGUAAAGCACAAGGCCUUUAGUCAUGCAGCAUUUUGGAAGCUGUCAUCCAGACUGCACGCUUCCUACCUCAUGCUACACAGCAGAGAAAUCCUCAGUCUAUGCAUCACUUAACUAUCUUAGGAAAUAACAUCACUUUAUCCUUAAUUAAUUACAAGGUAAUUCUCACCAUGUUUUUCUGUAGUUCACUCUUUAGCCAUUCUGCUGUUGCUGUUCUUCAGGUGUUUUCCCCACCUCCAAACCCUGUGACUCUCUUAAAGCAAAGCACUGCUUACUUGUGGAAGUGAUUUAUAAACACUUGCCUGUGAAGACCUCCUGAAGUCAGAAUACUUCAUUUCCACUAGCUGUUUCCAUUUAACCAGAUGUCAUGAUUCACCAUGCCACGCAACUGAAGAGUACAGCAUGUUGGGUGCUCUGCAGCUACUGGUUGCACCCAGAAGAGAAAAGCUCCACCUUGACUCAUCCUGACCUGUCCCCUCAUUGCAGCUUUCUGUCUUUUUCUUACAAGUAUCUCUCUGUGACAAUUGUCCUUAAGGAAAACAACUCAGAACGUUGA
rnacentral:lncRNA from 1 species